GGGGCUCAAUGGUAGAACACAUGCCUAGCAUGCAUGAGGCCCUAGGUUUGAUCCCUAGAUCCA
rnacentral:tRNA from 1 species